GCUGAGUCAAAGGCACUGUAUACUGCAGUGGAGGGCAUCCAGAACACGCAGAGGAGAAUAGCAGCCUUAGCUCUGGAUUCCACAAUUUAAUGCUGUCAAAAGCAUUGAGUUUGGUGCCAUGUGCCUUAGUCUCCAGAUGAAGCAGUAGCAACAGGGUGGCAAAAGAAGGUACAGAGAUUAUUUAAUGUGAAGCUCUGUUCCAGUGGAUUCUGUGUUUACCAGGGUUUUGCAAAAUGAGGAAAUCUGAGGGACAUGCACUUCCACUUCUGAAGCUAAGGCAGGACUUUGCCAACUUUGCCAACAAGGAAGAGCACCAGGAUAAUUUCUUGUGCAAAAAUUCUGCAGUAAACUCACCCGUUCUAAUGAGUUUCUUGCAUAACAGACCGUAUAUAGUGUAACCACGUUUCAAACCCUUCAGAUAAUAAUAAUUUCUUGAAAGGCCAACUUUGUGUUUUGUGUGUGUGUGUUCCUCCUCGUGGAAAAUACCUGAAUUGAAUUACACUACUUUCAAUUGCUGAAAUCAGAUAUUUAUGAACUAAUGUGAAUGAAAUCCUUUGUAUUUUAUUCUGUUUCGCUAUGCUGUGUUUUUGGAUAGAAUAAAAACAAACAAACAAAAAAGAAACAACCAAGCAAAAAGCCACCACCUCCAAACCUCUGUAUUUCUGACCAGAUGAACAAUUUUUGAGUCCCUAUUCCAACUAAGAUUUUACUUAAAAACAAACAAACAAAGAAACAAAAACACCUUCUGGCAAAAGUUUCUAUGCAAGAUAGAUUUCUCACUUUAAAGAAGCCACUGUGAAGAAGUCUCGGUGUACUUUUUGUGUGCUGGAAACGUGCAAUCAUUGUUCAGCCAUUAGGGGAUAGGCAUUUUCAAUCGUCUGCCUUCUGCCGUUCUUCACAAUCUUGAAAAUUGCAACUUGUUAAAUAUGCUUAAACUACAAAAGCAACGUUGAGUGGAUUGAAAUAUUCACAUUGAAAAUUCUCGUGGAUGUCCUGAGGCAUGUUCCUAUGUGUUCAAGAUUGGCUGAAGCUUUUCUCCUGUCAAUUCUUAAACUCUUCUGAUGCUUGAAGAGAGAAGAUUGGAAAAUUUCCUAGCACAUCACAUCAGACAAAGUGAUGACUUAUCUUUGCUCACUUUGCUCAAUAGCGCAUUAAGCUAUGAAAUGGAGCAAAUAUUCUUCCUCAUUUUUUAUUAAUUUGAAAACAGAGCAGUGUCUCCCAAGAGUUACAGUACCGUCAUUUUGCAAACUCUUUCACAGUGUCAAAGCUUAUGCUAUGUGAUCGUAGUGUUUUCUUUGCCUUUGGAACUUCUGUAGAAGUUACAUAAGCUGGAGAGUGUCUUAUUAACAUUUUUCACAUGUAAUAGCAGAAAACAUUUAGAAAAUUAUGGUAGGCUUUACUCGUCAGUGACCACAUAAGAAAAUUCAUCAUUUUCAAUCAAGUCCUUAAUUGUUUUCAGUUAAGAGGAGCUAAUUUACUGGUGGUGUUCACAGAAGCCUUUUAAUCAUACGAACUCAUUUUGGGGUGAAUCUUGAAAUGCAUUUGUUUAAUUUUCCUUUACAAUCAACUAUCUGUAUAAUUGUAGCUAAUUCUCUAGUGGUUUCUGGAUGUUUCCAUG
rnacentral:lncRNA from 7 species